UCCUUGUCAGAGCCGUAUUGGGGAUCUCACCAGAUACAUUUUGGAGGAUGGUUCUGCUAACUUUUUUUUAAUUGUUCUAAUUAGUUAUACAUGACAGUAGAAUGCAUUUAACACGUCAUACAUAAAUCGAGUAUAACUUCUCAUUCUUCUGGUUGUACACAAUGUAGAAUCAUACUACCCGUGUAAUCAUAUAUGUAUAUAGGGUAAUGAUGGCUGAUUCAUUCCACUAUCUUUCCUACCCACAAACCCCUUCCCCUCCCUUCACUCCCCUCUGCCUAAUCCAAAGUACUUAUAUUUUUCCCUGCUUUAUUGUGAAUUAGCAUCCACAUAUUAGAGAAAAUAUCUGGCCUUUGGUUUUUUGAGAUUGACUUAUUUUGCUUAGCAUGAUAUUCUCUAACUCCAUCCAUUUGCCUGCCAAUGUCAUAAUUUCAUUUUUCUCUAAGGCUAAGUAAUAUUCCAUUGUGUAUAUGUACCACAUUUUCUUUAUCCAUUCAUCUGUUGAAGGGCAUCUAUGUUGGUUCCAUAGUUUGGCUAUUAUGAAUUGAGCUGCUGUAAAAUUAGUGUGGCUGUGUCACUGUAGUAUGUUGAUUUUAAGUCCUCUGGGUUUGAACUGAGGAGUAGGAUAGCUGGGUCAAAUUGUGGUUCCAUUCCAAGUUUUCUGAGGAAUCUCCAUGCUUUCCAGAGUGGUAGCACCAGUUUUCAGUCCCAUCAGCAAUAUAUGAGUGUACCUUUACCCCUACAUUCUUGCUCACACUUAUUGUUGCUUGUAUUCUUUAUUUUUUUUAGUAUUUGGCGGACACAACAUCUUCGUUUGUAUGUGGUGCUGAGGAUCGAACCCGGGCCGCACGCAUGCCAGGCGAGCGCGCUACCGCUUGAGCCACAUCCCCAGCCCCUGUUGCUUGUAUUCUUGAUAAUUGCCAUUCUGACAGGAAUGAGAUGAAAUCUCAGUGUAGUUUCAAUUUGCAUUUCUCCAAGUGUUAGAGAUGUUGAACAUUUUUUCAUAUAUUCGUGGAUUGAUUGUAUUUCUUCUGUGAAGUGUCUGUUCAGUUCCUUUCUUUUAGAUUUUAAUGGACCAGAAUGCCUUAGGUAGUGCUUUUGAGUGAGGAACCUCAUUCCGUCUCAACGACUGGGAACAUCCAAUCUGUUAAUGGCUCUCCCAUGUCCAUGGAUGAAGAACAAAUCACAAAGUACUCUUAUGUGUGGGGACGAGUGCAGAGCGUCAGAUUAUGUGUGUUCAUCUUCUUAUCAUUCUGAAUCAGCAAUCGCAACUCUUCUGUUGGGUUGAUUCCCUGCUCUGCAUGCAGGCGGACCCAGUCCCUUCCUUUUGUUCAGGAAACAGGAGGGGAGAGAAGUACAAGAACUAGGCUAACUCUUAUGCAGCCAUUAGGAAAAUCUCGGUAUGCUAUCAAGGUUUUUGUUUUCCAAAAGAUGAGACAUACAAGGGUGAUGGGGCCACACAACCUGCUGUGACCUGGAGAUUGCUGUAACAACCCAUUGAGAGCCAGUGUAGAGAUGGACCUUGUUGCUUUUGAAUGAUGCCUCGUAAACCUGCUGAAGUUCAUGAAAACAGCCUUUGUGCCUUGUCUGGCUCCACGUGUGAGAAGGAUUCCAGAUUUCUCAUGAAUCCUAGUGGCUGGGGUGAUGGAUCCCAUCGUGUGAGGUGACACACACCAGGUCUUGGAACUGCCUCUGUGCUCUUCUGACAAGAAGUACUGCCUGGCACCUUCCCCAGGGCGGAUGCCCAACUUGAUGGCCCAAUUGUGACAAAGGGAAAUACAGCUGCUGCAUAUCUUGGAAUGCUCAUGCCAGCGGGUCAUGUUGUUAAUGAAACUGAAAAGUUCCAUGGUGGCAUCUGCAAGGUGGAGGGCCUGAGAACUGGGUAGUAGCUUGGCUCACUCUAAGAAACUAGGCCCGUAGCCAACUGGAUCGUGCCUGACUGCCACCCGGAGGGUGAAGGGCUGGAGAGAUGGUGGAGUCCACCACAUAGAGAUGUGAGAAAAAAUGGCUGGAAGAACAUAGAAAUAAAAAUCAGAGAGGCUCCAAGAUAGAGAAAUAAAGAUCCACAGGGGCGAGAGAAAGCCUCAAGUUUAAGGUGAAAGAUGGAUAGCCAUUUAGGGGAAAACAGAGGAAAGAGUUGAUGAGAAAGAAAGAAACCUGAGAAACUAAGACCUAGAGCAACCAAGAAGGAGCAGACAGGUGGAAGUUCCACCAGGGGGAACAGUGACCUUGAGGGAGGGAAUGUGGACCUCAGCUCUGUCAUUUGCUGAUAUUGUGAUCUUGGAUAGUUUUUCCAUGGCCUGGACUUUAUUGAAGUCCUUUCCUGAUAGACAGAAGACAUGCUUGCUGGAGACUGGCAGAAUGGCAGUUUAUUUUCAAAUAUGAUACAGAAAGCAUUGGUGGGACUUUUCCAUGGUUAAUGUACCCCAGAUUAGAAACACCACUUGAUAAAGUCUUGCUCUUUGAAUAGCUUCCACUACCUUCAGUGUGGCUUAGGAAUAUGAGUUGUAGUUUAUGGUGCAUGUCUUAAUUCUGAACCAAUAUUUAUACCUCUAUUUACAAAACAAGUGUGGAUAGCCAAAGGCAUGGAGAGGUCAAGUCCCUGCCUCCUUAAAUCUUCUGCAGGGGUAGAGGAGCUCUGAUCCAGCAGAACAUAUUAUACUCGAUCCUACCCUGGGUCCCUGACACUACAUAACUUUGGCUCUCCACUGUUUCCCUGCUUUCCACUCUUCAGGGAAGCCUUUGCCCAUGAACUUGACUUGUGGGUCCCUUUCUAUUCCUUAGGAGAAGGUGUCUUUAUUGGCCUUCUCUGUGAUAUUGUGCAGUACUCUGCACAUUUAUAGCUUGCAUAAAUAUUGAACAAUAAUAAAUAACUACAAGGGAGGAAGAAUAUUAUAGGCUGGGGAGAGUGAAAGAUGCUGAACUCAUCAUAUGAGGGCCAAUCUCAGGCCUCUUGGCUAUCUCCUUCAAAGAGAUUUGUUUGCCAGCUGUGUUGAGAAAUAUACUUUCCAUAUGAUGAGCCCAGAGAAGCAGCCAGUUUCCCUAUAGAAUGCUUUUGGAGCAUCCCCAAGAGGACCCGCUGAAUGGUUAAUGGUGUUUCAGAGAGGAUAACCCCGCACGCCUCCUUGGCAACUGGGUUAGAGGAAAGCCCUGGGGAUGAUGGCUGUAGCAAGACGAUGAAAUUAGAGGAAUGGGAUGGAUUCUUUUUAUUUCACUUUAUUUUCUGAUUCCAUGUGCAAACAGGGCAGCUUUCCAAACAUUUAAUGGAUGCAUAGUCGGCUGAGAAGUUCACUUGUUUUUCACUUCACAAUGAUUUUGGCUCAAGGAGGGCAUUUCUUAUUUAACACGUAAUCCAGGUUCAGUGUGUCAAUCAGAUGCUAUCUCCUCCAUCUUAAGAACUGUUUUUUCUGUUUGGUUUACAAACUAGUUAAGAGACAACUAUAUUCUUAAAUUUGAAGCAUAGUAAAAUAUUGAGUAAAUGUUUACAGACCUGGGAGAUUGAAGAAACUAUAAUUAAAAAGGCAAUAUGCAAACCAGUUGGGCUCACAUCUUUUGAAGUUCUGCCUGGCUGCCACCCAACCCAGAAAUAGGUAUUUAGUAAAUAAAACUAAUGCCUCUUUUAUAGCAUGAUCAAUAUCUUUUUGUUGUACUGAAAAUGUUUCCAUCAUUUUGAAUAGAUUGGUUUUAUUUACUCAGAAUGUCAAAUAUUAUACAUCUUGGAAUGGGAAUGAGGUUCUACCUCAAAUGUUGAAUAAACAAGAAUCAGUA